rnacentral:lncRNA from 1 species
CACAGCUGGGAUGUGGGAGAGCUGGGCUUCCAGCUCCUGUUCCCAUUGCUGGACAGCUGCCACAUCUGGCACCCAAUUUAGGACCCCGUGGGGAGGCCCAAUCCCCGGGGGUGGCGGGGGAUCCUAGAAGGAAGUGGCAAGGCCAGGACCCUGGAGCAGAGCCAGUGGAAUGUCACCAUCGCCCAGGUGGGGAUUUUUGUGUGUUUUGUUCACUGCUGUACACCCAGCCCCCAGCACGGCGCCUGUCCAGGACAAGUGCCCAGUAAACGCUUGGGAAGCAAUGCAAGCGUCCUCCCAGCAGCUCCUGCAAACAGACCCCCGACCCAAGCCCUUCCUUCUGCCUCCACUGCCACCAUUGCUGCUCAUCUCUGCUGGCACAGAAGUCUCUUCCCUGGUCUUCCAGAAAUCCCCUCUCCACACUCAGCCAGAGGGAGCUAUUAAAACUGCGGGCCAGCCCACAUCAGUCCACAGCAAAGUCCUCUCUAAGGGAUCCCUGUUGCUUGGAGAAUAAACCCUCGGAUUCCUUCCUUGGCUCUCGG